AGUGAACGCUGGCGGUAGGCCUAACACAUGCAAGUCGAACGGCAGCACAGUAAGAUCUUGCUCUUACGGGUGGCGAGUGGCGGACGGGUGAGGAAUACAGCGGAAUCUACUUUUUCGUGGGGGAUAACGUAGGGAAACUUACGCUAAUACCUCAUACCACCUACGGGUGAAAGCAGGGGAGCUUCGUACCUUUCGCGAAUGAAUGAGCCGAUGUCGGAUUAGUUAGUUGGCGGGGUAAAGGCCAACCAAGGCGACGAUCCGUAGCUGGCCUGAGAGGAUGGUCACCCACAUUGGAACUGAACCACGGCCCAACCUCCUCCGGGAGGCAGCAGUGGGGAAUAUUGGACAAAGGGCGCAAGCCUGCUCCAGCCAUACCGCGUGGGUGAAGAAGGCCUUCGGGUUGUAAAGCCCUUUUGUUGGGAAAGAAAAGCAGCAGGUUAAUACCCCGCUGUUCUGACGGUACCCAAAGAAUAAGCACCGGCUAACUUCGUG
rnacentral:rRNA from 1 species